GACGAACGCUGGCGGCGUGCCUAAUACAUGCAAGUCGAGCGAAGUUUUUCUGGUGCUUGCACUAGAAAAACUUAGCGGCGCACGGGUGAGUAACACGUAAAGAACCUGCCCCAUAGACUGGGACAACUAUUGGAAACGAUAGCUAAUACCGGAUAACAGUAUUUCUCGCAUGAGAGAUAUUUAAAAGUUGGUUAUGCUAACACUAUGAGAUGGCUUUGCGGUGCAUUAGCUAGUUGGUGGGGUAAAGGCCCACCAAGGCGACGAUGCAUAGCCGACCUGAGAGGGUGAUCGGCCACACUGGGACUGAGACACGGCCCAGACUCCUACGGGAGGCAGCAGUAGGGAAUCUUACGCAAUGGGCGAAAGCAUGACGGAGCAACGCCGCGUGAGUGAAGAAGGAUUUCGGUUCGUAAAGCUCUGUUGUUAGGGAAGAAUGGAUAUGUAGUAACUAUACAUGUAAGAGACGGUACCUAACCAGAAAGCCACGGCUAACUACGUG
rnacentral:rRNA from 1 species